rnacentral:rRNA from 1 species
UGGGGAAUAUUGCACAAUGGAGGGAACUCUGAUGCAGCGACGCCGCGUGAACGAAGAAGGCUUUCGAGUCGUAAAGUUCUUUUAUAUGGGAAGAUAAUGACGGUACCAUAAGAAAAAGCCCCGGCUAACUACGUGCCAGCAGCCGCGGUAAUACGUAGGGGGCUAGCGUUGUCCGGAAUCACUGGGCGUAAAGGGUUCGCAGGCGGAAAUGCAAGUCAGGUGUAAAAGGCAGUAGCUUAACUACUGUAAGCAUUUGAAACUGCAUAUCUUGAGAAGAGUAGAGGUAAGUGGAAUUUUUAGUGUAGCGGUAAAAUGCGUAGAUAUUAAAAAGAAUACCGGUGGCGAAGGCGGCUUACUGGGCUCAUUCUGACGCUGAGGAACGAAAGCGUGGGUAGCAAACAGG